AUUGAACGCUGGCGGCAUGCCUUACACAUGCAAGUCGAACGGCAGCACGGGUGCUUGCACCUGGUGGCGAGUGGCGAACGGGUGAGUAAUACAUCGGAACAUGUCCUGUAGUUGGGGAUAGCCCGGCGAAAGCCGGAGUAAUACCGCAUACGAUCUACGGAUUAAAUGGGGGGACCUUCGGGCCUCGCGCUAUAGGGUUGGCCGAUGGGUGAUUAGCUAGUUGGUGGGGUAAAGGCCUACCAAGGCGACGAUCAGUAGCUGGUCUGAGAGGACGACCAGCCACACUGGGAGUGAGCCACGGCCCAGACUCCUACGGGAGGCAGCAGUGGGGAAUUUUGGACAAUGGGCGAAAGCCUGAUCCAGCAAUGCCGCGUGUGUGAAGAAGGCCUUCGGGUUGUAAAGCACUUUUGUCCGGAAAGAAAUCCUUGGCCCUAAUACGGUCGGGGGAUGACGGUACCGGAAGAAUAAGCACCGGCUAACUACGUG
rnacentral:rRNA from 1 species